rnacentral:SRP_RNA from 1 species
ACUGGGUGUGCUGAAGCCCCCCUGUAAUCUGGCUACCAGGGAGGCUGAGGCUGGUAGAUGGCUUGGAGCUGCAGUGAGCUAAGCUGAUAGAGUGUCCUCACUAAGUUUGGCAUUAAUGUGGUGAGCAACCAGGUUGCCUAGGGAGAGGUGAAUUGGCUCAGGUCGGAAAGGGAGGUCAAAACUCUCAUGCCAAUUAGUAGUGAGACUGGACCUGUGAGGUUGGGUUAGACAGGGAGGGCCAGUCUUUA